GGCGAACGGGUGAGGAACACGUGAGAAACCUGCCUUUCAUUCUGGGAUAACACCGGGAAACCGGUGCUAAUACCGGAUACUCCGUCUUGGCGGCAUCGCCGAGCCGGGAAAAAAUUUUGAUGAAAGAUGGUCUCGCGGCCUAUCAGCUAGUUGGUGAGGUAAUGGCUCACCAAGGCGACGACGGGUAGCCGGCCUGAGAGGGCGACCGGCCACACUGGGACUGAGACACGGCCCAGACUCCUACGGGAGGCAGCAGUAGGGAAUAUUGGGCAAUGGGCGAAAGCCUGACCCAGCGACGCCGCGUGAGGGAUGAAGGUCUUCGGAUUGUAAACCUCUUUCAGUAGGGAAGAAGCGAAAGAGACGGUACCUAAAGAAGAAGCACCGGCUAACUAUGUGCCAGCAGCCGCGGUAAUACAUAGGGUGCAAGCGUUGUCCGGAAUUAUUGGGCGUAAAGAGCUCGUAGGUCGUUUGUCGCGUCGAUUGUGAAAAUCUGAGGCUCAACCUCAGACCUGCAGUCGAUACGGGCAAACUAGAGUGUGGUAGGGGAGACUGGAAUUCCUGGUGUAGCGGUGGAAUGCGCAGAUAUCAGGAGGAACACCAAUGGCGAAGGCAGGUCUCUGGGCCAUAACUGACACUGAGGAGCGAAAGUGCGGGGAGCGAACAGGAUU
rnacentral:rRNA from 1 species